UCCAAGGGAGCAUCUGCCACGAGGAGUGCUGUCCACUGACGAACUUUGGCUGUGACGAAUUCAGGAUGAAAUUCAGCGUUGAACUGAAAUCACUCACUCCAGAGGAAGCCAGCCGCCAUGUUAUAAGGACACUCAGGAGCUCUAUAACGUCCACAUGACAAGGAACGUGGGCUUCCUGCCAACCACAGCCUUGUGAAUGAGCCCCUCUGGAAGCAGAUCUUCCAGCCCAGGCAAGCCUUCUAAAUGUCUACACCCCCACUGGCAUCUUGACGGCAGCCUCAUGAGAGACUCGGAAGCCCUGCUAAGUCACUUCCGGAUCCCUGGCCCCAAAAAAGCAUAUAUGGUGUGAGAUAAUUAAAUGCUAUUAUUUUAA